GUGUUGGAGGUGUAUGUCGACACCCACAAAGGAAGAAGGAGAAACCCUCAAAUUCAGCCCCUUUAAGUCUAAAUUGAAGAUGGAUUCAAGUUGAGAUUGAUGCAUGAACCCGAUUUCUUGAUGAUCUAGUACUCACAAUCAUGUGGAACGUGUCAAGGAGAGCUCAAGCAUAGGAGGAUAACGGGUCAAGAUAAGGCAAGGUGACAAAUACACUUAUUGGAGUACUCAAGGUAAGUGAAUUCCGGAACCUCACUUCUUAUUACAUAAUUAAAGUUUGUUGUAUGAAGGUUAGGAGUCAUGUAGUAUGUUGCUUAUAGUAAAAGGGAAAGAAUGUUGUAGUAUGUUGCUUAUAGUUUAAAAGCAACGAAAAGUGCAUGGUGAAUUCAAAUGGGUCAAAACACGAAAAGUAAUUUAGUGUUAUGUAAUAGUUAGUUUUAUUUUAUGAUUAAUAAAUUAGAAGGACAUGGGGCAUGAAUAUGGAUAAUUUACGUCAUGGAAAUAUGAAAACAGGAAAGAAAGAAGUUCGGAGGCCUAACGGUUGUUUACAAAAGUAAAUAGAAAACAUAAGUUGCUGAACUGGGCUCUACCGUAGCUUACGGUAGCCACCGUAAGCUACGGUGGGUGGUGAUGCCACUACUUCCAACGUAAGACAGUCAACCCACACUGUAGGGAAAUUCCCAGCCACCGUAAGCUACGGUGGAUACUGUAGGUUACGGUGGGGUUCCACCAGCAAAGUUGUUUCUUCGUUUUUCCUCGAUUUCGGACCCGUGAACCCGUUCUAAGCCCCGUUAUACAUCCAUAUGGUACCUCAAUCUUACCAAAUUGAUUUUGUGAAGUAUGGAUGAGUAUUGAAUUUAUCUUUAGGAUUCAGAAAUGUAACCGAAAGUCAUUAAAAAGCGAUUAUAAGGUAUGAGUAAGAAUGGGGCGUGUAAGCGAGUAUGCAUGGGUACAAAAUAAGUAUAUGGGCAUGUACCUAUAGAUUUAAUUGCCUUUCAAUAGAUGGAACUUAUAAGUAAGUAUGUAUAGAAAUGAGUGUGCACGUAAGUUGUUAUUUACAAGACUUAUAUGUAUGGUACUAUGUAACUAAGACUUGUUCACUUAAACAUGUAAGAAUGCAAACUGUAAGUAAGAGUUUGUAAAGAGUGGUAAUUGUAUGAAGUAAAAUUUAUUAUACAUGAAUGGUUUGGAUUAGAUAAGAUGUAAGCGCAUUACUGAACCAUGGGUAUUUGUACGUGUGAACUCUCCUAUGAAACUUGUAAGUACUUAUGGGGUUGAUAUACAUCAGUAUUAACGAUGUUAACCGGGUUGCUUUUGAGGUUGAAAUGAAGUGCAGGUACAUUAUUGUUGACUCAUUAAAGAUUAGAUACCAAGAUGAAAUGUUGGAAUUCAAAAGGAUAAAUGAAUGGAAUGCAUAUGAGAAUAGAACGAGAUGAGACCCCGUUGCACGGAAUUAUGGAUUAUCAGCAUGAAAGACACGAGAUUUAAAGAUCGAGUUAGAGAUGCAUGGAUUGUACGGAGUGGGUGAUCAUUUAAUUUGUAUUAGUACAUUAUAUUUUAUUUACAAAAUGAAAGAUGAAUGAUGUAAUUCUUCUAAAGAAGUUGUUUUAAAUGAUUGAAAAGUAUGAAAGAAUAUUUAAUAACAAA